rnacentral:ncRNA from 1 species
AGCAUCGGCUAACUCUGUGCCAGCAGCCGCGGUAAUACAGAGGGUGCAAGCGUUAAUCGGAUUUACUGGGCGUAAAGCGCGCGUAGGUGGCCAAUUAAGUCAAAUGUGAAAUCCCCGAGCUUAACUUGGGAAUUGCAUUCGAUACUGGUUGGCUAGAGUAUGGGAGAGGAUGGUAGAAUUCCAGGUGUAGCGGUGAAAUGCGUAGAGAUCUGGAGGAAUACCGAUGGCGAAGGCAGCCAUCUGGCCUAAUACUGACACUGAGGUGCGAAAGCAUGGGGAGCAAACAGGAUUAGAUACCCUGGUAGUCCAUGCCGUAAACGAUGUCUACUAGCCGUUGGGGCCUUUGAGGCUUUAGUGGCGCAGCUAACGCGAUAAGUAGACCGCCUGGGGAGUACGGUCGCAAGACUAAAACUCAAAUGAAUUGACGGGGGCCCGCACAAGCGG